AAUUUCUCUCUUAGACAUAUAUCAUCAUGUAAUUAAGUGUAAACAUUUAAUAAAUUACAGACAAAUUUAUUUAUUAUUUAUCAUAGAGCAUUUAUUAUAUCAUUCAUGUAGUAGAUAAACAAUAUAUGAUCAACCAGAUUUAACAUAAAGCCCUUUGAUCACAUCAAUGAGUAUAAUUACAUAGAUUCAGAUAUUAUAUUUUAUAGAAGUAAUUAAAAUAAAAUAUAGAGUAGA
rnacentral:lncRNA from 1 species